ACCUCCACCGGGAGCGACAGCAGGAUGACGGCCAGGCUAACGACCUUGCCUGACACGCUGAGGGGAGGUGCACGGCCGUCGCCAGCUCGUGCUGUGAAGUGUCCUGUUAAGUCAGGCAACGAGCGAGACCCCCGCUCUUAGUUGCUAUCCCAUAGGAGACUAUGGGGGCACACUAAGAGGACUGCCGCCGCUAAGACGGAGGAAGGAGGGGGCCACGGCAGGUCAGCAUGCCCCUAAACUCCCGGGCUGCACGCGGGCUACAAUGACGGGGACAGCGGGUUCCGACCCCGAAAGGGGAAGGCAAUCCCUGAAACCCCGCCGUAGUUGGGAUUGAGGGCUGCAACUCGCCCUCAUGAACCUGGAAUCCCUAGUAACCGCGCGUCAUCAUCGCGCGGUGAAUACGUCCCUGCCCCUUGUACACACCGCCCGU
rnacentral:rRNA from 1 species